GCUUGCUGGGUGGAUGAGUGGCGAACGGGUGAGUAACACGUGGGUAAUCUGCCCUGUACUUCGGGAUAAGCCCGGGAAACUGGGUCUAAUACCGGAUAGGACCGCUGGCCGCAUGGUCUGGUGGUGGAAAGUUCCGGCGGUACAGGUUGAGCCCGCGGCCUAUCAGCUUGUUGGUGGGGUGAUGGCCUACCAAGGCGACGACGGGUAGCCGGCCUGAGAGGGCGACCGGCCACACUGGGACUGAGACACGGCCCAGACUCCUACGGGAGGCAGCAGUGGGGAAUAUUGCACAAUGGGCGCAAGCCUGAUGCAGCGACGCCGCGUGAGGGAUGACGGCCUUCGGGUUGUAAACCUCUUUCGCCCGGGACGAAGGGAGACUGACGGUACCGGGAGAAGAAGCACCGGCUAACUACGUGCCAGCAGCCGCGGUAAUACGUAGGGUGCGAGCGUUGUCCGGAAUUAUUGGGCGUAAAGAGCUCGUAGGCGGUUUGUCGCGUCGGCCGUGAAAACCCCACGCUUAACGUGUGGCGUGCGGUCGAUACGGGCAGACUUGAGUUCGGC
rnacentral:rRNA from 1 species